rnacentral:antisense_RNA from 1 species
CUCAAUAAAACUUUUCCUGGGCUGGAUAGCAAAGGGCACCUUUGGUUACCUGAAUGGACAGUUUUGGCCAGAAAUGGUGAGAAGAAAAAGCAUGAAGAAGCCGCGAAGUGUGGGGGAGAAAAAGGUGGAAGCGAAGAAACAGCUCCCGGAGCAAACUGUACAAAAACCUCGCCAAGAGUGUCGGGAGGCAGGACCGUUAUUCCUGCAGAGCAGGAGAGAGACGAGAGACCCUGAAACACGCGCCACCUAUCUUUGUGGGGAGGGAUAAUUGAAGCGCCCUGAGCGUACCAGAGCCAGAAAAAAAAAAAUGCUACAUGGGAGCUGCAUCUUAGGGCAUGUGUAUUAGGGUGUGUGCAUGAUGAAUUUCUGGACUGGAUCCCAAUAUUAAAAAGUAGUUUGGCAUUUUAAUAAAGGGUCUCUAAGUAAAUUAACAUAGAA